rnacentral:rRNA from 1 species
AAGGGUGAGUAACGCGUUGGUGACCUACCCCAAAGUGUGGGAUAACAGUCCGAAAGGAUUGCUAAUACCGCAUGUGGUCAUUGGAUUUAGAAACUGAUGACUAAAGGAGCAAUUCGCUUUGGGAGGGACCUGCGUCCCAUCUCCUAAUUGGUGAGGUAACGGCUCACCAAGGCGACGACAGGGAGGGGACCUGAAAGGGUGACCCCCCACAAUGGAACUGAAACACGGUCCAUACACCUACGGGUGGCAGCAGUAGGGGAUAUUGCUCAAUGGGCGAAAGCCUGAUGCAGCAACGCCUCGUGUGCGAUGAAGGCCUUCGGGUCCUAAAGCACUUUUCUGCGAAAUGAGAAAGGACAGUAUCGUAGGAAUAAGUCUCGGCUAACUACGUGCCAGCAGCCGCGGUAAAACGUAGGAGGCGAGCGUUAUCCGGAUUCACUGGGCGUAAAGCGAGUGCAGGUGGCGCGCUGCCUUGGGUGUGAAAUCUCCCGGCUCAACUGGAAGAGGUCAUUCAAUACUACCGUGCUUGAGAGCAGAAGAGGAAGAUGGAAUUCCCGGUGUAGUGAUGAAGUGCCUAUA